ACGGACAUGACGGAGAGACCGGAAACCAGUCUAGUUCUACACCACCCUGAUUCCAAAAGUGGGACUGAGAACUAGUCUAACUGAACUGAAUCUGCUUGCCCUGAUGAAGCAAUUGAGGAGGGAAUACGAGGAGAAAGCGGCAUCAGAGGCGAGACAGAGGGAGGAGGCCGAAUGGCAGUCCAGAUUGCAGGACGAAUGGGUAGCAGACAUGGUGGGGAUGUGUGGCGACACCCCCUGGGAGGACACAGGAAAUUGAACGAAAUGUUUGGAUGUGUGGUCUAGGACACCAGUGAGGCAGAGCACCAGUGACAUAUCACUGGAUCCCACCCAAUAAAAGAAUGAGAUUGAUGAUUGAUGGCCACCAUUUCAUAAGAAAAAGGGAAUUUUCAAGCUUCCAUAUUGGUCAAGGUCACACGACGAGGAAGCAGCGUCGGUUGGUCCAUGUCAUCGAUACUCUGUUCUGAAAAGAUGGCAGCAUGAUGCCUCUAUUUGCUUCAUACAUCAGUCGGUCUGCCAUGUUCUAGAUAGGUGCAUUUUCAAGAUCACAGUGAUGUCUAGUGGGGCAAAGGAAGGACUCCACUCACUGCUCAAGUUACAGGAAGAAGAAAGCAAUUUUGGCAGAAACGUUUGACGAUAAUUUAUCCGAACUUAGAUUUGUUAGCGUUCUUUGAACACUUUAAUUUGCUCCAUCUUGGGGUCGUUUUUGAUUUCUGCCAGAUAUUUUAUUUCUUGGUGUGUUUAAGAAUGUGGCAUUUGCCCAAGGAAAUGUUUGCAACCACAGCGAUGAUUUAUCCUGGAUGGAUAUGGCCAGUGUGCGUAAUUUAAUAAAAAGAGGAAAAAGGAUCCGUUUGA
rnacentral:lncRNA from 1 species